GAUGAACGCUGGCGGCAUGCCUAACACAUGCAAGUCGAACGGUAAGGCUCUUCGGAGUACACGAGAGGCGGACGGCUGAGUAACGCGUAGGAACACACCCUGCAGCGAGGGAUAAGACACCGAAAGGUGUUCUAAUACCGCAUACGGUCUUCGGAUUAAAGCAUUUGUGCGCUGAAGGAGUGGCCUGCGUCAUAUUAGAUAGUUGGUGAGGUAAUGGCUCACCAAGUCGAUGAUGUGUAGCUGGUCUGAGAGGAUGAUCAGCCAGACUGGAACUGAGACACGGUCCGGACUCCUACGGGAGGCAGCAGUGAGGAAUAUGUCACAAUGAGCGAAAGCUGGAUGGAGCAAUGCCGCGUGCAGGAUGAAGGCCCUCGGGUUGUAAACUGCUUUUAUAAGAGAAGAUUAUGACGGUAACUUAUUAAUAAGGGACGGCUAACUACGUG
rnacentral:rRNA from 1 species